rnacentral:rRNA from 1 species
AAUCCUUGGUCUAAUACAGUCGGGGGAUGACGGUACCGGAAGAAUAAGCACCGGCUAACUACGUGCCAGCAGCCGCGGUAAUACGUAGGGUGCGAGCGUUAAUCGGAAUUACUGGGCGUAAAGCGUGCGCAGGCGGUUUGCUAAGACCGAUGUGAAAUCCCCGGGCUCAACCUGGGAACUGCAUUGGUGACUGGCAGGCUAGAGUAUGGCAGAGGGGG